GCAAGUCGAGCGGAACGAUCCUAGCUUGCUAGGAGGCGUCGAGCGGCGGACGGGUGAGUAAUGCAUAGGAAUCUACCCAGUCGUGGGGGAUAACCUGAGGAAACUCAGGCUAAUACCGCAUACGUCCUACGGGAGAAAGCGGGGGCUCUUCGGACCUCGCGCGAUUGGAUGAGCCUAUGUCGGAUUAGCUAGUUGGUAAGGUAACGGCUUACCAAGGCGACGAUCCGUAGCUGGUCUGAGAGGAUGAUCAGCCACACCGGGACUGAGACACGGCCCGGACUCCUACGGGAGGCAGCAGUGGGGAAUAUUGGACAAUGGGCGCAAGCCUGAUCCAGCCAUGCCGCGUGUGUGAAGAAGGCUUUCGGGUUGUAAAGCACUUUCAGCGGGGAAGAAGGCUUGUCGGUCAAUACCCGGCAAGAGCGACAUCACCCGCAGAAGAAGCACCGGCUAACUCCGUGCCAGCAGCCGCGGUAAUACGGAGGGUGCAAGCGUUAAUCGGAAUUACUGGGCGUAAAGCGCGCGUAGGCGGCGUGUCACGCCGGGUGUGAAAGCCCCGGGCUCAACCUGGGAACGGCAUCCGGAACGGGCAGGCUAGAGUGCAGGAGAGGAAGGUAGAAUUCCCGGUGUAGCGGUGAAAUGCGUAGAGAUCGGGAGGAAUACCAGUGGCGAAGCGGCCUUCUGGACUGACACUGACGCUGAGUGCGAAAGCGUGGGUAGCAAACAGAUUAGAUACCCUGGUAGUCCACGCCGUAAACGAUGUCGACUAGCCGUUGGUCCCUUGAGGACUUAGUGGCGCAGUUAACGCGAUAAGUCGACCGCCUGGGGAGUACGCGCAAGGUUAAACUCAAUGAAUUGACGGGGCCGCACAAGCGUGGAGCAUGUGGUUUAUUCGAUGCAACGCGAAGAACCUUACCUACCCUUGACAUCCUGCGAAC
rnacentral:rRNA from 1 species